rnacentral:rRNA from 1 species
ACGGCUCAGUAACACGUGGCUAACCUACCCUUUGGACGGGGACAACCCCGGGAAACUGGGCCUAAUCCCCGAUAGAUGAGAAGUCCUGGAAUGGUUUCUCAUCUAAAAGGUGUUUAGAGCAUGCUUCUAGGCGUCGCCAAAGGAUGGGGCCGCGGCCGAUCAGGUUGUUGGUGAGGUAACGGCUCACCAAGCCUAUAACCGGUACGGGCCGUGAGAGCGGGAGCCCGGAGAUGGGCACUGAGAUAAGGGCCCAGGCCCUACGGGGCGCAGCAGUUGCGAAAACUCCGCAAUGCGCGAAAGCGUGACGGGGCUACCCCGAGUGCCGUCCGCUGAGGACGGCUUUUCCACGGUGUAAGGAGCCGUGGGAAUAAGGAGAGGGCAAGACUGGUGUCAGCCGCCGCGGUAAUACCAGCUCUCCGAGUGAUGGGGACGAUUAUUGGGCUUAAAGCGUUCGUAGCCGGUCCGGCAAGUCUUCCGUUAAAUCCAGCGAUCUAAUCGUUGGACUGCGGGAGAUACUGUUGGGCUAGGGGGCGGGAGAAGCCGACGGUAUUCUCGGGGUAGGGGUGAAAUCCUAUAAUCCCGGGAAGACCACCAGUGGCGAAGGCGGUCGGCUAGAACGCGCCCGACGGUGAGGGACGAAAGCUGGGGGAGCGAACCGGAUUAGAUACCCGGGUAGUCCCAGCCGUAAACGAUGCGGGCUAGGUGUUGGGGCGGCCACGAGCCGCUUCAGUGCCGCACGGAAGCAAUUAAGCCCGCCGCCUGGGGAGUACGGCCGCAAGGCUGAAACUUAAAGGAAUUGGCGGGGGAG